ACGAACUGUGAAGAUUAAGUCAUUGAAGUUUAGUAAACCGACAGAUCUUUUGACUUAUGUUCCAAAUUCAAAUCUUUUGUUGUUUGUGUAUAUAUAUAUAUAAUUGGAAAUAUUUUCUCCUAAUUUGGGUCUUGUUUUUUCAUUGUCUUGAUGGCGGCUUGUGCAAAGCAGUUUUAAUUUGGGAUAUACAGUAGUUCCACCACCCUUUGUUGAGAAUGAUGCCGGGGUUCUUGCUCACGGAGUCGAAGAAUGAACUUCGCAAACGCUAGGAGAACAAAAUAGCAGCUUGGUCUGGAGCAGAUUCUUGGUCUGGGAGUAUAUCAAUCAAGACUGCCUGCUCUGCUCCCAAGAGAUGCAUAGUGAGUAUGUACAGAUGGAAACACAUGAUGUCUGUCUGUGAUUUGCUUUAAGAUACUUCAUUAAAGAAAAAAGAAAAAAGAUUUUUAAAUAGGAUGUACACAAGAUUUGUGCAUUUUCUCAAUAUAAAAAAAUCUUAAAUGUCUUCAAUGAGAAAAGAAAUACUCCUCCUGAGAAUCCUUAGUGGAGAGUUGCCCCCAGGGGUGAUGAUUAGCCCCAGGUUCUUCUGACCUGCUACACCUCGACAAAGCAUCUUUCAGUUUUAAGAAAAGAUCUUCAGGAAUAGAGAUAAAGAUAUUGACUGCUGGGAGUCCGUUGGAGCCCAAAGGAAUAAAGUUCAGUGAAAUUGGAGUAAAGUUUAAGGAAUGAAAGUGGGAUGCUGGCACUUCUGCAACAACUGGCAAUUUUUUGUUUGUGGACAAGAAUGCUCAGGAAUUAGAGUUUUGGUAUGGUAUGUGAGAAGCACUUGAUAAUUUCCAUAAGGACUCCCUGCAGCCUCAACAUCUGGACAAUUUCUCAGGUAUCUGUGAUCCUGCAUGGUGCUCUGGUCCACUCCUUGGUGGGGAUCUUUUUUAUCUUGGUAGAUUUAUUGGGAGCUUCCUGAAAAUAGGGCCCUCACCCUCUAACUUCCUAACUGCAGAGCCCAGCACAAAGCCUGUUCACAUUACAAAUGAAUGGUGACCACAUACAUAGUCCUCUGGAAGUGGACUCGAGUUAAAAACAGGUAGAAUGAAGGGUCUGUGUAUAGCUCCUUCUGCCAUCACUUCCAGUUCCCUUGAUAGUUGCAUGUCUAUCUACUGUUACUCAUAUUUCAGCUGCAAUGCUACUACCUCUUUGGGUCACCCCUGACUUCAUAAAGUAGCCACCCCAACACUCUGGCACAUUACCGUUGUAAUUCUCUGCAGAGCGCUUAUUACCAUGUGCAGCUUUUCUUGAUUAUUUAUACUUUAUUAUCUGUCUCCCUCAUAAACAGAUUACUUAUACCAUAUUAUCUUUUACAUUUAUACAAGAAUAAAGGUUCCAUGAUGGUAGGGACAUUGUGUGGCUUCCUCACUGCAGUACACGCAGCACAUACUAGUUGAUCAGUAUUUCUGGACUGAAUGAAUUUAUCAUAAACAGAGAUGGAAGCAACCUCCCCUUGGAUUGUCAGCUAUUAAAGAUUUAGGAAGGAAGGAAAGGUCCUAGAGACUGAAGAGAACAUCUACUAUGAGAGCUAUCUGUA